UUUAGCCUGUGGAUACAAAUGCAGAUUUCCUUAAUGUUCAAUGGUGCGUGUUCUUCUAAUGGCCGCCUUCCCACUGGAGGUUUUGAUCCACAGCAAUUUAAAAGGAGCACAGAUCAAAACGGACAUCGGCGCAGAGUGAAGAACUGCCCUUCAUAAGGACACUAUGACAGCCAUAUAUAUGGCGGUAAGGAAGAGGUUUCCCAAUGUGUCCAGAAGGGCUUUGAGGAUUGCAGUGAAAGCUGGGGGAACUGAGACUGCUGGAAAAGGAAAAGAAAUUAAAUUUAAAGUAUGUUGACUUAUGUUCACACAAUCACACACACAUAUACACAUACACACACAUAUGU